UUCAGAUGGGUGUUUUGAUGAGAAAUCUCAGUCUGGAAGUAAGAUGCCAUUCCACAAAGAUUCGUUCUCAUCUGUGAGGUUUGGCCUGGCUGAAUCAUGGUUUUCUUGCCCUCAAACAGUACCAAGUUUGAGUAGGUGAAAUCUCCCUCUGAUGGACACCUCCUACACUCUGCAAAAGCCCAGGUCACGUCACCUCCAGCUGUGGAAGAAACGGAGCUGCUCCAGAAGCUUUACCAUCUCCUGGAAGCCAAGGGGUUUCAGACAAGGAUGGAAGGAGUGGAACUCCUCCUAGACCUGUGCAAAACCAGCCCCCAGCUCAUCUCCACUAACAUUGCCCAAAUUUUUGAAUAUUUUGUCCUGAGAAUAUCUGACAGUCACAAGAAGGUGAAGCAGAGGGCACUGGACGUGCUGGCUGAAAUCACAGGAGCCCUGAAAGAUGCCUUGAACCCGGUGAUCAUUGGUUUGAUGGAGGGAAUAACAAAGAACCUGAACUCAAAGGAUCCCAGGAUUCGUGGGGCAGCUGUGAAAGCACUGGAAGAAUCCAUUGCUCAUUUGGGUAAGGCUGAGCCCUGGCAGGGACUCUCCUCAGCUUCGUGUCUGUCUCUCCCUCACAAGAGAGCGCUGAAUGCCUUGACAGCUGCUCUUGUCUGUGGAACACUGCAGCUGACACCCACCAGAGGCUGUG